UGAGGAAUAUUGGUCAAUGGGCGGAAGCCUGAACCAGCCAAGUCGCGUGAGGGAAGACGGCCCUACGGGUUGUAAACCUCUUUUGCCGGGGAGCAGAGAGGUCCACGUGUGGAUCUUGGGAGAGUACCCGGAGAAAAAGCAUCGGCUAACUCCGUGCCAGCAGCCGCGGUAAUACGGAGGAUGCGAGCGUUAUCCGGAUUUAUUGGGUUUAAAGGGUGCGUAGGCGGCAUCGCAAGUCAGCGGUAAAAUUGCGGGGCUCAACCCCGCCGAGCCGUUGAAACUGCGGAGCUUGAGUGGGCGAGAAGUAUGCGGAAUGCGUGGUGUAGCGGUGAAAUGCAUAGAUAUCACGCAGAACCCCGAUUGCGAAGGCAGCAUACCGGCGCCCGACUGACGCUGAAGCACGAAAGCGUGGGUAUCGAACA
rnacentral:rRNA from 1 species